rnacentral:lncRNA from 1 species
UGACGUUGUUGUCAUCGUCGUCGUUGCUGUUUUUGCCAUUCUUGUCGUUUUUGUCGUAGUAAUUGUUGUUGUCGUUGUCGUUGUUCUCGUUGUAGUCGUUGUUGUCGUUGUUAUCGUCGUUGUUGUUGUUGUUGUUGUUGUCGUUGCUGUCGCUGUUGUCAUUGUUCUCGGUGUUGUCAUUGUUUUUUUGUUAUUGUUGUUGUCGUAGUUGUCAUUGUUGUCGUUGUUCUCGUGAUUGUCAUCAUUGUCGUUGUUGCCAUCGUUGU